rnacentral:SRP_RNA from 1 species
GCUGGGCAUGGUGUCACAUGCCUGUAAUCCCAGCUACUUGGGAGGCUGAGGCAGGAGAAUCACUUGAACCCGGGAGGUGGAGGUUGCAGUGAGCUGAGAUGUGUCACUGCACUCCAGCCUGGGCAACAGAGCGAGACCCUGUCUCAA